rnacentral:rRNA from 1 species
UGGGUGAUCCUAUGCUGCCAAGAAAAGCAUCGACGCGAGGUUCUAGCCGCCCGUACCCCAAACCGACUCAGGUGGUCAGGUAGAGAAUACCAAGGAGAUCGAGAGAAUCGUGGUUAAGGAACUCGGCAAAAUGCCCCCGUAACUUCGGGAGAAGGGGGGCCUUCGGCGUAUAGGGAUUUACUCCCGAAAGCGUUUGGAGGCCGCAGAGACUAGUGGGUAGCGACUGUUUACUAAAAACACAGGUCCGUGCCAAGUCGCAAGACGAUGUAUACGGACUGACGCCUGCCCGGUGCUGGAAGGUUAAGAGGACCGGUUAGCCGCAAGGCGAAGCUGAGAAUUUAAGCCCCAGUAAACGGCGGUGGUAACUAUAACCAUCCUAAGGUAGCGAAAUUCCUUGUCGGGUAAGUUCCGACCUGCACGAAUGGCGUAACGACUUCCCAACUGUCUCAACCGCGAACUCGGCGAAAUUGCAUUACGAGUAAAGAUGCUCGUUACGCGCAGCAGGACGGAAAGACCCCGUGACCUUUACUACAGCUUGGUAUUGGUGUUCGGUGUGGCUUGUGUAGGAUAGGUGGGAGACUUUGAAGCAUGGACGCUAGUUCGUGUGGAGUCAUUGUUGAAAUACCACUCUGGUCACUCUGGAUAUCUAACUUCGAACCGUAAUCCGGUUCAGGGACAGUGCCUGGUGGGUAGUUUAACUGGGGCGGUUGCCUCCCAAAAAGUAACGGAGGCGCCCAAAGGUUCCCUCAACCUGGUUGGCAAUCAGGUGUCGAGUGUAAGUGCACAAGGGAGCUUGACUGUGAGACUGACAGGUCGAGCAGGGACGAAAGUCGGGACUAGUGAUCCGGCAGUGGCUUGUGGAAGCGCUGUCGCUCAACGGAUAAAAGGUACCUCGGGGAUAACAGGCUGAUCUUGCCCAAGAGUCCAUAUCGACGGCAUGGUUUGGCACCUCGAUGUCGGCUCGUCGCAUCCUGGGGCUGGAGUAGGUCCCAAGGGUUGGGCUGUUCGCCCAUUAAAGCGGUACGCGAGCUGGGUUCAGAACGUCGUGAGACAGUUCGGUCCCUAUCCGCUGCGCGCGUAGGAAAUUUGAGAGGAUCUGACCCUAGUACGAGAGG